rnacentral:misc_RNA from 1 species
AAGUCGUAACAAGGUUUCCGUAGGUGAACCUGCGGAAGGAUCAUUAUUGUAGGGACUUCGGUCCCCUCAAGAUGCACCCUUGCCUUUUUUUUAGCGUCUCAAAACGUUUCCUCGGCAGUCCGACUGCCAGCGAGGACCCCCAAAAAACCCUUUGCAAUCCCGAAAAAUAUUCUGAACUACCCCAAACAUUUAAAACUUUCAACAAUGGAUCUCUUGGCUCUG